UACGAAGGGUGCAAGGCGUUACUCGGAAUUACUGGGCGUAAAGCGUGCGUAGGCGGUUUGUUAAGUCCGUUGUGAAAGCCCCGGGCUCAACCUGGGAAUUGCGAUGAAGACUGCAAGGCUUGAAUCUGGCAGAGGGGGGUAGACUUCCACGUGUAGCAGGUGAAAUGCGUAGAGAUGUGGAGGAACACCGAUGGCGAAGGCAGCCCCCUGGGUCAAGAUUGACGCUCGAUGCACGAAAGCGGUGGGGAGCAAACAG
rnacentral:rRNA from 1 species